UUUCCGUAGGUGAACCUGCGGAGGGAUCAUUACAGAGUUCAUGCCCUACCGGGUAGGUCUCCCACCCUAUGUUAUUAUUACUUUGUUGCUUUGGCGGGCCGUUAGGCUCCGGCCCGACUACCGGCCCCGGCUGGUAAGCGCCCGCCAGAGGACCUAAAACCCUGAAUAUUAGUGUCGUCUGAGUACUAUAUAAUAGUUAAAACUUUCAACAACGGAUCUCUUGGUUCUG
rnacentral:misc_RNA from 1 species